ACAAACAUUAAACAAGCAGUACCCAAAACCAAGAGAAAAUGGAUAUAACCAAUAUAGGAACUACCCCACCAGACAGCAUUACAACAGACGACCAUAUAACGACUGGGAAAGAGGGAAGGUUCCCUAUUGGCAACAAAAAGAGCAAAGGAGAAGAGACUGGCACACUAGAGAGAGACAAGAGAACGAAAGAAAAUAUAGGAAUGAAAAUCAGGAG